AUACAUAUAAAUAAAUAAUCAUAUUAGAAUGGAAUUAAAUUAGGGAAAAUGCUAGAAAAAAAAUUGUUUGAUAACGAAAUAUUUUAAACAUUUCUUAUAAGUAGAUAAUGAAGAAGAAGCAAAUACAAAUGUAAACUGCAGUAUGUGAAUUUGAUAGAGAGUAGACGUCACCCAUAAAAAAACAAAAUAAACAGCUGCGCCAAGAGCGCAUGAUACGCCCG
rnacentral:lncRNA from 1 species